rnacentral:rRNA from 1 species
GACGAACGCUGGCGGCGUGCUUAACACAUGCAAGUCGAACGGAAAGGCCCUGCUUUUGUGGGGUGCUCGAGUGGCGAACGGGUGAGUAACACGUGAGUAACCUGCCCUUGACUUUGGGAUAACUUCAGGAAACUGGGGCUAAUACCGGAUAGGAGCUCCUGCUGCAUGGUGGGGGUUGGAAAGUUUCGGCGGUUGGGGAUGGACUCGCGGCUUAUCAGCUUGUUGGUGAGGUAGUGGCUUACCAAGGCUUUGACGGGUAGCCGGCCUGAGAGGGUGACCGGCGACAUUGGGACUGAGAUACGGCCCAGACGCCUACGGGAGGCAGCAGUGGGGAAUAUUGCACAAUGGGCGGAAGCCUGAUGCAGCAACGCCGCGUGCGGGAUGACGGCCUUCGGGUUGUAAACCGCUUUCGCCUGUGACGAAGCGUGAGUGACGGUAAUGGGUAAAGAAGCACCGGCUAACUACGUG